AAAUGAAAGAAAAGUUGAAGGUAUUGUACUGUAAGAUUUUGAGCCCCAAAACGUGUAAUUAUUAAAACUAUAUUUUUCUAUAAAUGGAAGCUCAUUCUUCCUUCAUUUCUCACCAAUUCACUAAAGCUUUAGAGCAAUUAUUAUAGAGAGAAAUUAUAGAGAGAAAGAAGAAGAGAAGUCUGAUACCUCACUAUUCCAAUAUCCAGUUUCUUCUAAGGUAAGGGGUAUUAUUUCUUUCGUAUUCAUGAAGAGAGCUAUUGUUAUUCCAUUUCUUAUUAUUAUGUUGGAAUAACCUGUCUAUGCGAAGUACUGCAUACAUGGUGAAAUUCUUCUAUUAUUCCAUUCUUUAUUUGUAAGACCCCAACUUUUUAUGAAUAAAGAUGAAUUUUCUAUAAUUAUCAUUUUUGAAUAUUAUGGAUUGAAUUUGAUAUAAUGUUAUAGUUGUGGGAAAUAGUUAUAAAUUUUGCAAAGUACGCAAGUUGUUAUAUAAUAUUUGAUUGGUCGAGGAAUAUUCGUCUUAACAGGGAAUAUUCGUACGACGACACAAUCAUUGGUGGACCCCACAACGAAAUUAUUGUCGGAUUGAGAAAACGACAAAAAUAUUUUAUGAAAAUAAUGGCGGAAGUUUUAUCGUUAACUGUUGAAACACCCGGUGUUAAUAGUACAGGAAUACGCGUGGUUGCCUAGUAGCACACGGUAUUGCUUACGUGAGAAGUCACUCAGUUUUGUUUAAUUAUUGCUUCAGUAAUUGUUGCAUAGUAUCUCACGUUAAUUGAUUCAAUUAUUGUCGAUAUUUUAUAUAUUAUUAAAUCAAUAAUUGAGACGACGAAGUUAUUAAUAUUAUUAUUUGCAAUAUUAACGAUGUCUAGAAUUCUGCCAAGGAGAGGUUUGGUCACCUACUUGCGCGCCAAUAGGGAAAAAUCCUUAUUGGAAAGCCCUCUCUUUCCUGGGAAUGAUCUGGUCGAUUAAUAGUGUGAAUUAUAAUAAUGAUGAUGAAGUUUUGUUUUAUUAGUAUUAUUAAUGUAAUAAAACAGAAAAGCUUUUUAUAUAAAACAGAAUACUUUUAUAAAGUUAUUCGUUUUAUUAGACUAUAAAUAGAAUAUAUUAUAUUCUAUAAUGCAUAGUGUUUUGCAUAGUAAAAUCUUUUUAUAUAAAACAAAAUACUUUUAUAAAGUUAUUCAUUUUAUUAGACUAUAAAUAGAAUAUAUUAUAUUUUAUUAUGCAUAGUGUUUUCAUAGUAAAAUCUUUUUAUAUAAAAUAAAAUACUUUUAUAAAAUGCAGGUGGAAACACUGGCAACUCUCGGACGGUCACCGCUAAGCAGUUCAAGGAAUUGGGACCAGCGGAGUUUUUUAGAGAGCCAAAACCACUUAAGGCGGAGACGUGGAUAAAGCAGAUCUGCAAGAUAUUUGAUGUCUUGGGAUGCUCCGACGAGCAAAAGGUUCUCUUUGCCACCUUCAUGUUGCGUGCAGAGGCAGAUUACCGGUGGAAAUCUGUAAAACGUACUCAACCUGCCGCACUGAAGAUGACUUGGGAGAAGUUCCAAGAAUUGUUCAACGAUAAGUACUUUCCCGAAAGUAUUCGUCACAUGAAAGAGGUAGAGUUCAUCAAGCUGGAGCAAAACAACAUGAUCGUGUCGCAGUACGAAGCCAAGUUUACCGAGCUGUCCUGGUUUGCGUCCCAUUUGGUUGAUAAUGAGGAGAGAAUGACACGAAUGUUUCUAAGAGGUUUGAAACCCGAGAUACGUCAAUAUCUUAUCUCUCAUAAACUGUGUUUGUAUUCAGAUGUUUUUAAUAGGGCUCAGUUAUUGGAGCGCGAUAAUGAGUCAACCCAACCAAGAAAGAGCAGUCGGCAAAAUGAUAAUACUAGUGAUAACAGUCAUCGAAGCGGUGACAAUAAGCGUGGAGGGAAUCAACAUGCCAGAAAUUGUAACCACUUCGGUGGUAAUCAUGGCCAAAACAAUAAGAAUGGACAUUUCAAGAAGAGGAGAUUCAACAAUGAUGGAAAGACGUCAGCACCAGCACCCGUUGUUAAGGAAGGAGAACGACCACAUAUCAUAUGCUUCAAAUGCGAAGGGGAGGGACACAUCAGUCCAAACUGCGCGAUGUCGUCCAAAGCAUGUUAUAAUUGUGGAAGAGAAGGUCACCUAGCCCGAUUUUGUCGUUCAUCGAAGACAAGUUCAGCUAGGAUGGAGGCACCAAAGGAUAUCCCAGAAAAGUCAAAGCCAGUAGUGCAAGGGAGAGCGUUUGUCGUGACCUCCCAGAAAGCAAGGAACCCGAACGAGGUCAUUAUGGGUAAGCUUAUCAUAAACUCUAGAGAAGUUUAUACCUUAUUUGAUACCGGUUCUACCCAUUCUUUUAUUUCUCCUACUUGCACUCAACGUUUAAAUUUGAUUUCGGAGAAAUUAGACUUUGACUUAUCUGUUGAAACUCUAUUGGGAGAAACCUUCAUUACAUCCACUGUUUAUAAGUCUUAUUUGGUUCAAAUCGGUACCCUCACAUUACUAGGAAUUGAUUAGUUAACUACUCAUCAUGCAAAAAUUGAUUGUUUUCGUAAGGUUGUUAGUUUUCAUAUUCCUAACCAACCUAUUAUACGAAUUCAAGCAACCAAACCAUUAAAAUCAAUCACUGUCAUCUCAAGCCAUAAAGCUAUUCAUUUAUUGAAAAACAGAUGUCAAGCUUUCUUAGCUCAUGUCACGGAUCUAAACAAAAAUACGUCAGUUUUGAAUGAUAUUUCUAUUGUUAAUGAAUUACCUAACGUAUUCCAUGAAGAACUUCCUGGCCUACCCCCAGAGCGUGAAAUUAAAUUUUGUAUCGACCUUGAACUCGGUACAAAACCCAUUUCCAAAGCCCCAUAUCGAAUGACUCCUAUUGAACUUCAGGAGUUAAAGACCCAACUACAGGAAUUGUUAGGCAUCGGUUUCAUUCGUCCUAGUACGUCUCCUUGGGGUGCUCCUGUUCUAUUCCUGAAGAAGAAAGAUGAGAAUAUGCAACUUUGUAUUGAUUAUCGGGAGUUAAACCAUGUCACUAUCAAAAAUAGAUAUCCAUUGCCUCGCAUUGAUGACCUGUUUGACCAGUUGCAAGGCGCCAAAUUUUUUUCAAAGAUUGAUCUUCGUUCCGGAUAUCACCAAUUGAAGAUUAGAACCGAUGACAUUCCAAAGAUGGCUUUCAGAACUCGGUACGGGCAUUAUGAAUUCCUAGUCAUGUCUUUUGGAUUGAUUAAUGCUCCUGCUGCCUUCAUGGAUAUGAUGAACCGAGUAUUCAAGGAAUAUUUGGAUCACUUUGUGGUCGUCUUUAUUGAUGACAUCCUUAUUUAUUCUAAAAGUCGUGAAGAUCAUGAGCAACACUUGAGGCUGAUACUUCAAAAGCUUCGUGAAUAUAAGCUUUAUGCCAAAUUGAAGAAAUACGAGUUCUGGCUUAAGGAAGUGGCAUUCCUUGGGCACGUGGUAUCAAGUUAUGAAAUAUCUGUUGACCCAGCAAAGAUUGAAGCUAUUCAAAGCUGGGAACAACCUAAAUCAGUGACCGAAGUACGUAGUUUUCUCGGCUUAACUAGUUAUUAUCGGAGAUUCAUAGAACGGUUUUCUCAAAUCACUACUCCCUUAACUCAGCUGACUCGGAAAGAUAUAAAAUUCGAUUGGAACGAGGAAUGUGAGAAGAGUUUUCAAGAACUCAAGAGAAGACUCAUUUCAGCACCUGUUCUGACAAUACCAUCUGGCUCGGAGGGAUUUGUCAUCUACAGUGAUGCUUCAGGCAAAGGGUUAGGAUGUGUUCUCAUGCAACAUGGGAAAGUCAUAGCCUAUGCCUCUCGACAACUCAAAGAAUAUGAGAGGAAUUAUCCUACUCAUGAUCUAGAGUUGGCAGCUGUUGUCUUCGCACUUAAAAUUUGGAGGCAUUACUUGUAUGGGGAGAAAGUGGAGAUCUUUACGGAUCAUAAAAGCCUCAAAUAUUUCUUCACUCAAAAGGAACUCAACAUGCGACAACGACGUUGGCUUGAACUGUUGAAAGAUUAUGAUCAUACCAUCCAAUACCAUCCUGGAAAAGCGAACGUGGUAGCUGACGCAUUGAGUAGAAGAUCAUAUGCGGGUACGAGUGCGAUAUUGUCAACGCAAAGGCCCAUUUUGUAUGACUUGCAAAGGAUGGAGAUAGAGAUAAAGACUCCAGGGACCCACGUGAUGAUGGCGAAUAUACGAGUAGAACCGACUUUAAUCGAUAAAGUUAAAGCUGCUCAAGCUACAGACCUGGAGCUGAUGCGUAUGAGGAAGAAAGUGCAAGAAGGUGCUAUGCCGGAAGCAAGAAUCGAUGAAGAAGGAAUACUUCGAGUCAACUCCAGACUUUGUGUUCCUAACGACCCUGAUUUAAAGUAUAAAAUCAUGAUGGAGGCGCACAACACACCGUUUGCAAUCCAUCCUGGGAGUACCAAAAUGUAUCAUGAUCUUCGACAUACAUUUUGGUGGGGCAAUAUGAAGAGAGAGAUAGCGCUGUUUAUCUCAAGGUGUCUAACGUGUCAACGAGUCAAGGCGGAGCAUCAAGUACCAAAAGGUCCAUUGCAACCACUUGAAAUUCCAGAAUGGAAGUGGGAGCACAUUACCAUGGAUUUCGUUACUGGUCUUCCCAAGGUUUCUCAAGGCAUAGAUGCAAUUUGGGUCAUUGUUGAUAGAUUGACCAAGUCUGCUCAUUUCUUACCAAUACGAGAAACUUAUACACUUGAACGUCUUGCUCGUAUGUACAUAAACGAGAUUGUAAGACUGCAUGGUAUGCCAGUAUCCAUAGUUUCUGAUCGAGACCCAAGAUUCACUUCACGAUUUUGGGUUAGUUUGCAAAAAGCUAUGGGCACGGAUUUACGAUUUAGUUCGGCAUAUCAUCCUCAGACGGACGAACAAUCGGAUAGGACUAUUCAAACUCUUGAAGAUUUAUUAAGACUCUGUGUCUUUGACUUCAAGGGAAGUUGGGACAAGUUAUUACCAUUGGUGGAGUUUUCUUACAACAACAGUUAUCAAACAAGUGGCAUGGCUCCAUUCGAGGCGUUGUAUGGAAGAACGUGUCGCUCUCCAGUAUGCUAGGAUGAGGUGGGUAAAACAACGUUGUUGGGAUCGGAGUUGGUACGUAUGACUACAAAAAAGAUUCAAACGAUCUGACAACGUAUAAAAACCUCACAAGACCGACAAAAGAGUUGUGUUGAUCUUCAUCGAAAGGACUUGGAAUUCGAUAUUGGAGAUCAUGUGUUGUUAUGUGUUGCUCCAUGGAAAGGAGUUACGAGAUUUAGAAAGAGAGGAAAGCUCAAUCCUCGAUUCAUUGGCCCAUUUUUAAUCCUCGAUCGAGUAGGAACUGUGGCCUAUAGACUCGCCUUACCGCCAAGUAUGUCUCGUGUUCAUAACGUUUUUCACAUAUCUAUGUUACGUAAAUAUGUGAAAGACCCGAACCACAUUAUUGAAUUAGAACCAGACGAGAUAGAGGAAGAUUUAACGUAUGAAGAGUUACCUGUUAAAAUCUUGGAUAAGAAGGAUCAUAUUCUACGCUCCAAGGUUAUACCUCAAGUCAAAGUUUUGUGGAGAAACCACGAUGUGGAAGAAAUGACCUGGGAGUUAGAAUCUGAGAUGAAGUCAAGAUAUCCUCACCUCUUCGAUAUACCAGGUACGUACCCUAAUUUCGAGGACGAAAUUUCAUAAGAAGGGGAGGUUGUAAGACCCCAACUUUUAUGAAUAAAGAAUAAUUUUCUCGAAAUAUAUUUUUGAAUAUUAUGGUGUGGAUUUGAUAUAAUGUUAUAGUUGUGGGUAAUAUUUACAAAUUUUGCAAAGUAAGCAAGUGGUUAUAUAAUAUUCGAUUGGUCGGGGAAUAUUCGUUUUAACAGGGAAUAUUCGUACGACGGCACAAUCAUUGGUGGACCCCACAACGGAAGUAUUGUCGUAGUUAGAAAAUGACAGAAUUAUCUUUUUAUAAAAAUAACGGCGAAAGUGUUACCGUUAAAACUGUUGAACUACCCGGUAGUAAAAGUACAGUAAUACGCGUGGUUGCAUAGUAGCACACGGUAUUGAUUAUUGAUGCUUACGUGAGAAGUCACUCAGUUAUACUCAAUUAUUGCUACAGUAAUUGCUGCAUCAUAUCUCUCAUAUUAUUGAUUCAAUUAUUGUCACAGUAUCAUCUGCAUAAUAUGUUAUAUUAUUAAAUCAAUAAUUGAGACGACAAAGUUAUUCAUAUUAUUAUUUGCAAUAUUGACAAUGUCUAGAAGUUCUGUCAAGGAGAGGUUUGGUCACCUAAUUGCGCGCCAAUAAGGAGAAAUCCUUAUCGGAAAGCCCCCUCUUUCCUGGGAACGACCUGGUUGUUAAAUAUUGUGAGUUAUAAUAUUAAUGAUGAAUAAGUUCGUGUUGAUUAAAGAUGAAAUUGAUAGUUCCAUUGUGUUGGAAUUAUUAGUGUUAGUGGAAAUCGACAUUUAUUUCGAUAAUAAUUGAUGUCUGGAGGUUAUAUUGACCAAUCGGGUAAUUAAUCGGAUAAAUGAGCAAUUAAUUGCUAUUAAUUCACAUGAUUAUAACUAUUUGUUCACAUGUGUGUACUAUUGAUUCACAUUCUUGUACUAUUAGGGGAGUUGGUGCAAGAUUGAUAAUACUUGCAUGACUAAGUUAAAAAUGGAGGUAUAGAUGGAGGUACUAUACUGUAAUUCGUAUUUUCACAUGAUUAUAACUAUUGAUUCACAUGAUUGAACUAUUGAUUCACAUUAUUUACUAUUAGGGGAGGUGGUGCAAGUUUGAUAAUACUUGCAGGACUAAAUUAAAAAUGAAGAAAAAGAGGAAGGUAUUAUACUGUAAUAUUUCGAGCCCCAAAACGUGCAAUUAUCGAAACUAUAUUUUCCUAUAAAUAGAAGCUCAUUCUUCCUUCAUUUCUCACCAAUUCACUAAAGCUAUAGAGCAAUUAUUAUAGAGAGAAAUUAUAGAGAGAAAGAAGAAGAGAAGUCUGCUACCUCACUAUUCCAGUAUCCAGUUUUCUUCUAAGGUAAGGGGUAUUAUUCUUUCGUAUUCAUGAAGAGAGUUAUUUUCUUU
rnacentral:lncRNA from 1 species